rnacentral:rRNA from 1 species
GAUGAACGCUGGCGGCGUGCCUAAUACAUGCAAGUCGAGCGAACGGACGAGAAGCUUGCUUCUCUGAUGUUAGCGGCGGACAGGUGAGUAACACGUGGAUAACCUACCUAUAAGACUGGGAUAACUUCGGGAAACCGGAGCUAAUACCGGAUAAUAUUUUGAACCGCAUGGUUCAAAAGUGAAAGACGGUCUUGCUGUCACUUAUAGAUGUAUCCGCGCUGCAUUAGCUAGUUGGUAAGGUAACGGCUUACCAAGGCAACGAUGCAUAGCCGACCUGAGAGGGUGAUCGGCCACACUGGAACUGAGACACGGUCCAGACUCCUACGGGAGGCAGCAGUAGGGAAUCUUCCGCAAUGGGCGAAAGCCUGACGGAGCAACGCCGCGUGAGUGAUGAAGGUCUUCGGAUCGUAAAACUCUGUUAUUAGGGAAGAACAUAUGUGUAAGUAACUGUGCACAUCUUGACGGUACCUAAUCAGAAAGCCACGGCUAACUACGUG